rnacentral:piRNA from 1 species
CCCUGGUGACAUUGAUGUUAAAAGUUUACUU